GAAAUUCCUGUACUGCUUAUGGACAGAACUGUGGGGACGCAGAAGGAGAGCACGAGCCGGAAAUGGAAAAGCCGGUACAAGCGUAUAGCAGUCAUGCAGGCAAAACCGCAUGAAAAAUGUAAAGCGUUAUGUGGAUCGAACAUUAGUAGAGAAGCGUGUGAGCCAGCUGCCAAGAAAAGCCGCUAUUGUUUCAUAAGUACCCGUAUCGUAAACCGACACAGGUGGAUGAGGAGAGAAUCCUAGGCCGGCGGGAGAAGUGUUGUUAAGGAACUCGGCAAAAUGACUCCGUAACUUCGGGAGAAGGAGUGCCACAGAGAUGUGGCCGCAGAGAAAUGGCCCAAGCAGCUGUUUAGCAAAAACACAGGUCUAUGCAAAACCGAAAGGUGAGGUAUAUGGGCUGACGCCUGCCCGGUGCUGGAAGGUUAAGAGGAGAGGUUAGAGCAAUCGAAGCUUUGAAUUUAAGCCCCAGUAAACGGCGGCCGUAACAAUAACGGUCCUAAGGUAGCGAAAUUCCUUGUCGGGUAAGUUCCGACCCGCACGAAAGGCGUAAUGAUUUGGGCACUGUCUCAACAACACACCCGGUGAAAUUGAAAUACCAGUGAAGAUGCUGGUUACCUGCGCCAGGACGGAAAGACCCCAUGGAGCUUUACUCCAGUUUGAUACUGGGAUUCGGUACUGUCUGUACAGGAUAGGUGGGAGGCUAGGAAAUGGUGACGCCAGUUGCCAUGGAGCCAACCUUGGGAUACCACCCUUACAGUACUGGGUUUCUAACCUGCAGCCGUAACCCGGCUGGGGGACAAUGUCUGACGGGGAGUUUGACUGGGGCGGUCGCCUCCGAAAGAGUAUCGGAGGCGCUCAAAGGUUCCCUCAGAACGGUUGGAAACCGUUCGAAGAGUGCAAAGGCAGAAGGGAGCUUGACUGCGACACCGACGGGUGGAGCAGAUACGAAAGUAGGACUUAGUGAUCCGGUGGUAUAAAGUGGGAUUGCCAUCGCUCAACGGAUAAAAGCUACCCUGGGAUAACAGGCUUAUCACUCCCAAGAGUUCACAUCGACGGAGUGGUUUGGCACCUCGAUGUCGGCUCAUCGCAUCCUGGAGCUGUAGCAGGUUCCAAGGGUUGGGCUGUUCGCCCAUUAAAGCGGUACGCGAGCUGGGUUCAGAACGCCGUGAGACAGUUCGGUCCCUAUCCGGCGUGGGCGUAGGAUAUUUGAGAGGAGCUGUCCUUAGUACGAGAGGACCGGGAUGGACAAACCUCUGGUGUAUCUGUUGUUUUACCAAAGGCAUGGCAGAGUAGCCAAGUUUGGCAGGGAUAAACGCUGAAGGCAUCUAAGCGUGAAGCCCCCCUCAAGAUAAGAUAUCCCAUCUUCGGAGUAAGACCCCUUGAAGACUACAAGGUUGAUAGGCUUCAGGUGUAAGUGUGGUAACGCACUCAGCUGAGAAGUACUAAUAGGUCGAGGACCUAUC
rnacentral:rRNA from 1 species